UAUUUAUUUAUAGUUCACUGAGUACUCUAUGAUACUAUGCUAACAUUUUGCAGUAAUGUAUUUUAUUCUUCUCCCUGUCAAUAACAUUAGGGUUAUUAUACACAUUAAGAAGUACUAAAAUUUCAGUUUUGAGACCAAUUCUUAUAUAGUGCCUAUCAUUGAAGAAUGAAAGAAUGCAUGUAGAUAGAAAGUCUGGUUUAUUGCUGACACAUCUGUUUAUAUUUAUAUGUAUUUUUUAGUAGUUAAACAUUUUGUGUGGCCAUUGAUAAAAAUAUGCUUAAACAUUGUACAAGUUGCUAAUGAGAACAAAAAAAUGUCAUAUAUUCCUCAGGAUGUUUUGAGACAUGUUUUGAUUGACUAUAACAAUAUCAGGGUUAUAAAUUAGUAAUGGAUAUUUUGCUACUACCCAUUGCCAUUGAGUCGAUUCUGACUCAUAGCAACCCUGUGGGAUAGAGUAGAACUGCCUCAUAGGGUUUCCAGGGAACAGCUGGUGGAUUCAAACUGCUGACCAUUUGGUUAGCAGUUGUAGCACUUAACCAUUACGCCACCAGGGUUUCCAUUUUGCUACUGGUAUGCUUUAAAAUAGAUGGAAAUAGCAGCAUAUAGAAGAAAGUAAAGAGAACAUGGAUUUGAGAGCAGUAGAUUUAAAUUUCAUACCAGGUUUUUUGUCUUUAUAAGGCUUAUCUAUUUCUUGUUGCUUUUCUUCUUUCAAAAAAAGAUGUGAUAUUGGAGUAUCCCCACUGCCAUUUUGGUAUGCUGCAUUUUGCUGUGUUGUGUCACAACUGCAGUAUAACUAAUAUAAGCUUUCUUUUAUUUAAUUCUGCUAUAAGCAAUGGAGUACUAAUGUGUUUCUGUCAUUAAAUAUAUAUAGAUACAUGAAACUGCCCUCCCAUUGGGUCACUCUAAAAUUGAUUCUCUAACUUGGGCUAACUAAAGUGGUCAAAUGUUAAAUGAAAAUCAGUCACACUGAUUGAACCCAGCUAACUACACUCCUUUUUAUUAAGUGGACUUUUUCCCUACAGAUGAAAAAUACCAUUUAGGUUGACCUCUAUGCUCUGAAUGCUUUUAAACAUACCUUCUAAAGACAAUGGUUUGAUCAUAAGUUUAUUCUUAUUUUAGGAUUGUCAUAGAAUUACCAUUGAGCAAUUAAAUAAAAGUAUAUUUUAGCUAUGAUUUAUAAAUAGACAAAAUCCUGAAUUAAUUUUUUCAAUCACACAUCCUUAACCCUUAAUAUUUUAAAUGCAUAUCAUAAAUAUUUCAUGAAGUUAAGAAUAAAAUGUGGAUAGAAUAAUCAAGGUGUUAUUGGGAAACACAAGGAUCUAACAAGACACGGAAACACAACAACCUUUAGCUUCAUUUUUAAGACAAGAAAAUAAAAGGUCAAAAAUCAAGAAAUACCCUGAUGUAACAUAUACCUUAGAAAAUUGUCCCAGCUGAUGUUGGGACAGUGUCAGUAUGUAAAAAUAUGAAGGCCAGCCUUGUUAUUGUUAGGUACUAUCUAGUUGGUUCUGACUCACAGCGACCCCGUGUACAACAGACCGAAACACUGCCCGGCCCUGCACCAUCCUCACGAUCACUGCUAUGUUUGAACUCAUCGCUCCAGCCACUGUGUCAUUCCAUCUCGUUGAAAAUCUUCCUCUUUUUCUCUGACCCUGUACUUUACCAAGCAUGACGUCCUUCCCCAAGGACUGAUCCCUCCUGAUAACAUGUCCAAAGUACAUGAGUUGAAGUCUUGCCACCCUUACUUCUAGGGAGCAUUCUAGCUGUGCUUCUUCCAAUACAGAUGUGUGUGUUCUUCUGGUAUAGGGAGUCAAAACCUGAAGGAAUACACUUAAACUAAAAAGUUGUUUAAGAAUAUAGUUCUAAGAAAGUCAGCAUACAUCGCCAUCGUUAUUAAUAUCAUCAUCUACAACAAAAACAACAGCAUAAUCUAUACAGCAUUAGCAGUGUGUCAGAUGCGGUAUCAGUGACCUUACAUAUGUUACUCUAAUUCUCAAAACAACUCACCGAAAAGUGCUUUUAUCCCCAUUUUAUAGAUAAGGAGACUGAGGCUCAGAAAAGUCAAGUAAGUUGUCAGGGUCCCACAGAUAUGUAAUGAGUAAGUGGUAUUAACUCUGUUUGAACUUUAAAUAGGUUAUUGAAAAAUUUAGUUUGCCAUUUGAAUUCUGUUGUAAUUUAUGUGGAAACCCUGGUGGUGUAGUGGUUAAGUGCUAUGGCUGCUAAACAAAGGAUUGGCAGUUCGAAUCCACCAGGUGCUCCUUGGAAGCUCUAUGGGGCAGUUCUACUCUGUCCUAUAGGGUAGCUAUGAGUUGCAAUCGACUCGAUGGCACUGGGUUUGGGUAAUUUAUGUUCCAAAGGCAACUGGGUUAUUAUAAAAAAAAAAAAUGCACAGCAGUUUAGUGUUAAUUGUUUUAUUUGUAAUUUAUAGCCCAUGCCUUGAAUUGAGAAAAUUUUAAAAGUAAAAUUAAAUGGACAAGGCAACACAGAACUAAGAAGUAUUAGUAAGCUAUUUAUACAACAUAGGAAUCACUAGUGAUCUAUCUAAAUAUAAAAUAUCCUAAAUGUAAAUAUUAAAGUAUUUUGAUCAGUCAUGUUGUUAACACUGGAGUCAGAAGAUCAUUUCUGUAUUGAUUUUUGAGUACCUACAGAUAUUAUGGAAACGCCAAGACUUUAGAAACAUUUAUAAAACAUAUGUAUUUUCCUUCUAAAAAGGAAUGAAAAACAAUUAGCGAUGGGAAAUAAAUCGAUGGGUUACUCUUAAUGUUAGACUUUUGAAAGCGAUUGAUUUUCCUAAUUUAUGAAAUCAAACUAAAAGGAAUAGUUCCUCCUGCAGGCUCAGGUUAUGACACGAUCAUUUCAAAGCUCUUAUAUUCACUAUAGAAAAGCCGUAGUUUUUAGUUCAAGAAACUGUUGGCACACCCAUGUAAUUUAUUGUCUAUAAUCUCCCUUAAAAUCUAGUUUUCAAAAUAUUACAUCAUCAUUUUAGGCUUCAGUUAAAUUUAUAUUGAAUUUACUGUUUAUUUCCCAGAUCUUUCUUGCUUGCUUGAGCUCUCAUUUUGAUCUAUGGCGCAACUGAUUCCACUUGUCAAAUUUAUUCGUUGAUCUAGGUGAAAAGAGUGUACCUAAAACCGUCCUACAAAAAUACAAUCCUGAUAUGCAUCUUAAAGUAUCACUUCAGCUACAUUAGUGAAAAUUGAGGAAUAAGAAACAAGAUAAUGGAAUUAUGAAAUGGUGUUAAUGAAAUCUUCAGAUUACAGAUGACUUUUAGUAAUUUGGAGUCCUGGUGGUGCAGUGGUUAAGAGCUCAGCUGCUAAUCAGUUUGAAUCCACUAGCCUUCCUUGAAAACCCUAUGGGGGAGUUCUACUUUGUCCAUAGGUUCAUUAUGAGUUGGAAUCAACUCGACGGGAACAGGUUUGGUUUUUUUUUUUUUUUUGGUUUUAUUAGUAAUUUAGGAGCCCUGGUGGCACAGUGAUUAGGAGCUUGCUGCUAACCAAAAGGUUGGCAGUUCAAAUCCAUAAACUGCUCCUUGGAAACCCUAUGAGGCAGUUCUACUCUCUCCUAUAGGGUCUCUAUGAGUCAUAAUUAACUCGACGGCAAUGGAUAUUAGUAAUUUAAGGAGCCCUCGUGGUGCAAUAGUUAAGCACUCUGCUGCUAACCAUAAGGUCCCAAGUUUGAACCCACUAGCUGUUCCAAAGGAAAAAAGACCUGGUGGUCUAUUCCAAAAGGUUACGGCCUAGGAAACCCUGUGGGGAAGUUCUACUCUGUCCUAUAAAAAAACUUGGUAAAUGAAUAUUUCUUUUAUAAGGAUCAGCACAAAGCUGGUUCCUGUGAAGCAGAGGUUAAACAUAUUGCAAAGAUCUAACUUUUUCAAACAGCUUUACCGCUCACUACUCUUCCUCCGGUCUUUGGGUUUCAUGAUUCGCAGCUAAGUCUCUGAGAACUCGUGAACCACAGUUACAGUUAAGUGGUUUGUGAGGGAAGUAACAGGGUACAACUAGGGUCUCACAAAUGAUUCAAGAUAACAGUUUUUCAAUCAGGACAGCUUCUCAGCCAUGCCCACAGGAAGGCCUCUCAGCCUCUAUGCCUCGCCUCUGCCCUGUUUGGGCAAGUGUUACAAAGCUUUUAGCUCCAUGGUCAGAAAGCCGCACCAUGGCAAUUUCACACUGGUCUCCUGGUCCCUGUUGUCUCGAGCCACUAUUGGUCUUGCUUCUAUUGCGUUGCUAUCUACCACGUUACAGCUCCUCUUUCUCUAUGUCUCCCUCUAAGCCUGGUGGGAUGGCAAAAUGGACCAAUCUCCUUGUUAGGGUUCCGCACAUCUUAUUUGCAUGGCUGCACCCCCACAAACGUUCUGUGCCACUUAUUUGCAUUAGCAGCAAGCUAUCCAAUCCCUUGGUGGGCCACAAGCACCUUACUUGCAUAGUGCCACCUAAUUAUUGUGUGGGAGUCACAAAGACUAGGGGUAGAAGGGCCAUAUGAAGUAAUUAUGAAUUGGAAUUGACUCAAUGGCACACAGCUACAACAUUAGUAAUUUAAAGUUAUUAAUACUAGAAUUUUUCUUUUUUGUGUUUUGGAAAAUACGGACAUUUCAACACAUUUCUGACUUAUGCUUUACCUAAUUUUUUGUUUAAACAUUUUUUAGUAAAAUUAAACUGAAAGGAAAAUGAACUAUGAUCUUGUCAAUAGACUCUUAUCUUAAGAGAAGUUUUUUUUUUGUUUGUUUUAAUUCAUUGAUGACUAGAUGUAGUCCCAUUUGCUAAACCAAAACCAAACCUGUUACUGUUGAGUUGAUUACCACUCAUAGAGACCCUAGAAGACAGUGUAGAACUGCCCCAAGGAACGGUAGCCAAAUGCUUAACCACUGGAUCAUAGUCUUACUUGCUAGGAAAUUACAGUUUAGUUGGGAGUCAGGAAUAAAGCAAAGCCUCAAAAAUUAUAAUGCAAAACAGAGUAACCAAAAAAGGCCACUGCUGUUGAGUAGUUCCCAAUUCAUAGUGACCGUAUAAGUUCAACUAACAAACAAAAGCAAAAAAUAAAAAUGGCACAGUCUAGUUAGAUACUAAUUCCUAAUCCAAUUUCUACAAUUGUGUGGCCUGGAAAUCCAUGAUAUUGCUACUUAUGAUAAAUAUUGUGUUUUGAAGAACUAAAAUAUUUUUGCUUUAUGUUAAUUAAUAGUACACUGUAUUGUUAUGCAAAUAAUGCACACCUUUUGCAUUUGUUUGCCAAACACUCCCACUCCCUGAGAGUGGGGGAAGGGAGCAGCUGGCAAACAAAAAUACAAGGCAUGUGCUACUUGCGUAAAAAUACGGUAUGCAUGAAUUAUUAUAGACAACCUGUAAUAUGUCUUAUAUAACAAAGAAUUGUAUAUAUAUAUUUGAAAACACCGCAAUUGUAAUUACUCACCAAUUGCUGGUUAAAAAAAAAAUGAGUUAGAAUUAGGAAGUGUGAGGCAUAAAAAUAAAAUUAACCAUUUCUUCUUGAGCACCCAUUAUUUUCAGACAGUCUUUGAGACUCAAAACAUCAAUGCAUAAUCAUGUGAAGAUUAUAGCCAAGAAAAAAUCUAUGGAGCAGUUCUAAUCUGUAACACAAGGGGUAACCAUGAGUCGGAACUCACUUAAAGCAAUGGUUUUGGUGUGGAUUGGUUCAUCAGAUUUGUAAUUACUCAAAAGACUGAAGAUAAACAUAAAAAGUAAAAUAAUAAAAUAUUUACAUAUCAAUUCAAAACAGUAACAGAAGAGAUUUCAUGAAAGUGUUGCCUAAUUAAUUUCCAUAUGAGUGGUCUAGACAUUAAUUGCUACUGGAGUUAUCAAGAAAGAAUAUUUCAUACUAGGAGAUAAGGUGAGAGUUUACAGUGGAAGAGAGAUUUGAGUAAACCUUGAAGGAUUUGUCCAGGUAGAGAAAGAAGGAAAAACAUUGCAUUCCAGGAGGUGGUUCAAGGAUUUGACUUCAGAGACUUCUAUACUGUAUGAGAGGGAAUAAAUCUAGGUCAUCCAGUUCUGGAGGAUCUUAAAUAUUAUAUUAACUUGUAGUAAUGAAUAUUCAACAAAUGCCAAUUAUAGUGUUUCUGAAGCUUUUUAAGCUUGUAUCCCACCAGACAAAAACAUUUUGUUCAAUUUCGUUUUCUAAUUUUGUAUUAGGACCUUGUGAAAACAGUUGUUUUGUUUUUCUUUAAUGUCUGAUGACAGUUGGUAUGCCCUUGGAUAGACUGAAAGAAAGAGCAGAGGGAGGUGGCCGAUGCAGGAACCACACAAUUAGGGCCUCAGCCAGGGCAUAUGGAAAAAUAUGAGUUGAAAAGGGGACUUUAACAGGACUUGGUUACUAAGUGGAUCAAAGUGUGGGACCAGCUAGACAGAAAGGAGAGGGAGGACUUGAUGGUGCUGUGGAAUUGAGCUUGACAAAAAAAGAUUGGGAAUGCUCACUAGGGAGUUACGAAUAUUGGACUGGCAGAAAAGUCAAGCCUGGACAUGCAGACUGGAGAGGUUACUUGUUAAAUGAAAUUGUAGGAGCGUUUAAGGGAUGAGGAUCAGUUUUGUCCUAGUUUAAUAUCAGAUAUUUUCUCUCUCGUUGGUUGAAAACAGCAUCUGUUUUUUGUUUUUAAUUAAAAGUAACGGCCCGGCCUUUCCUUGACACAGUGUUCUUAUUUUCUAAUUCUUUGUCAUUUUUGAUAGCAUGGAACUUACAAAGACUGGAGUAUUUGAAUAAUCCAUAAUAGAGAGAGGGAGCAAUGGGAGGAGGAGGCAGGAGGGGAGGAAAGAAGAAAUAAUAGCUUUGGUUUGCAAAAUUCUGUAGGUAUUAAUUUGCUUGAGCUGUUUUCAGCAGUUUCACUUUUUCAAUAGAUACGUAUUUGUAGCUACUGGAGAUGUAGCCUUUUUUCUUCUAAAACAGUGCAAUUUCAUACUAUGAUAACGGUAAGAACUGAGGGAUCAGGUUCUUCAGGUCUUUGUGAGUCAUCGUAUCUGAAAUAAAGGACAUGUUAGAGAAUGAUGUGAAUGAUAAUAUUUGAUGCUUGUAGAGGGAUGGGCAAUAGUAACAAUUGAAGCCUAAGGGGAAGAGUGUGAAUGAGGAGAGAGAAAGGAAUCUUACUGCAUUUUUACGACUGUUUCUAGGAUUGAAGACUCAGCAAAGAGUCUUAUGAUGACUCUUUUGUUAAGAACGAAUGAGCAGAUGUUGAACAAAACACUGAAUAUUGAAUGGGAAUUUUAUAUCACAAUUUAUUUUAAGGAUGGAAGUUUUUUAGUAGUUUUUAAAAACUUUAUUUAGAACUAUAUAUUCAGAGGAUAGCACUAAUAUGAUAUCUGUUCUAGUGUCUUCUUAAUCAUAAAAAAUUAAAUAGAGCUAUCAGUUGUGUGCAUUGUUUUCAAAUAAAAAAAUAAAUAUUGGACUGUAAUUCAUCAAUUUUAUUAUUUACAAAUUGAUAUAUUUUAAGCAAAAUUUUGUGAGAAUACAUGUCCACUAACAGAAUGCAAUUUUAGUAUAGUUUUAUCCAACUUGUUCGGGGAAACCCUGGUGGGGUAGUGGUUAAGUGCUGUGGCUGCUAACCAAAAGGUCAGCAGCUUGAAUCCAACAGGCACUCCCUGGAAACUCUAUGGGGCAGUUCUACUCUGCCCUGUAGGGUCGCUAUGAGUCGGAAUCGACUCGAUGGCAGCGGGUUUUUAUUAUUUUUUUUUCAGUGUUUUAGGAGUGAAAAAAAAAAUUGUCAUUGAGUCGAUUCCGACUAGUAGUGACCCUGUAGGACAGAGUAGAACUGCCCCAUAGGGUUUCCAUGGAGUGCCUGGCCUGGUGGAUUCGAACUGCUGACCUUUUGGUUAGCAGCCAAGCUGUUAACGACCUCGCCACCAGGAGAGGACUAAAAUUUAUUCCAUAACUUCCAUGUACUGGCUAUGUUAUGUUCAUUUUCUUAUUUUAACCUCAUAAAAAAGUAGGUUUUCCAUUAUUCAUUUGGGAGGUUAACAAAGGUCAAACAGCUGGUGAGUGGUGGAGUUUAAACUCAGAGUUUCUUGACACCAAAGUCCACACUACUUAAGUUAUGCUGGAGUUAGUGAUUUGUAAAGAUGUAACCUACCAAAAAGUAAAUUCUUGGGCCAUUGAGGGCACUGAGAUUUGAUGUGUCUCUUUUUGUAUACAAUAGUUAUCAUUAUUUAUACUUUUUUUUUCUUUAUAUCUGCUUUAUUGGCCUAAACUUUCCCAGGAAGACCGCCGUAGAUAAGGAUUAUGGCACUAUGGUCAUCCAGCUGGGAAGGUGACAGCUGCUGCAGCUGAAUCCAGCCCUUGUCAUCAAUAAUGACCUGCAUUUGAUACUUUAUCCCAGCCAUCCUUGUUUAGUGUACAAUGUAUUGCAUUAGAAUAAUUAUCACCUGUCAUCCUUUAUUUAAAAGACAGCUCCUCUUAGUCAUCCCAGACGUGUAAGCAUCAUGUGAUAAUGCACCAAAGCAGGGUUGUGUUCUCAUCCCAUUUGUAGUUACCUGUGUCUUCUUUCUUUUUUUCUCACAACGUUCAAAGACAUUUCAUACCUAAACUUAAGGUUGUCAUUCUGUAACUUUAUAUUGAAAGGACUCUUCCUACUUUUUAAAUAAGAGACAAACACUUAUUAAGGAGUAAUAUUUUCUGAACAGAAAACAUGAUCAGUGGUUUUAGAGCCUGUUCAUUCUGUUAAAAAUACAGAAGAUUUAAAGUAGGAAUUAGAGAAAGGAGUGCUGACUCAAGGAAAGGGUGAUAACCAAAUCCGAAGGGUAUACAUCAUAUAUAGAGGGUUAUUAUAAUGCCUAUAUUAAAAACUUUGAUUUAAUUCAAAGACCUGGGUUUCUUUCAUUUAGUUUUAGGGAGAGACAGACAGGAAAAAUCACUAAAUUACUGAAAUGGAAGCAACCUCCACCGUGAUUUUAAUUAUGAAUUGAAGUCAUCAUAAGUGUUGUUGCAUAUUUAUGGAACGGGUUUAGAAAUUCCUUUGUUCCAGAGAUUGAAGAUGGAGAUUUUUUUAAAGAGUUGUAUCAUCUUUGUUUUGGUAAGACCCUAUUCACAAGCAUCUGUUAUGGUUUAGUUAAUCUAAAAUGCUCUUCGGAAUUUCUGUGUAUCUUAAUUUGACAUUUUAAGAAAACAAAAUAAGUGAUGCCUGCAAUUUGGAAUCACACAUGCUUUAUAUUCAUUAUGUGACUUGCAUUCACCCUGUCCUUAUUCCAGCUUUAUUGUUAGAAGUCCAGGUUCAAGUUUUAACGUCUUUAAUUUUAACAAACUGAUUGGUCUUGAGCAAGUUAUAUAACCUCCCUGAGCUUUCUUUUUCCCCCCAAACAGCUGUUUUUAACAGUGGUUCCUCAUCUGAACCACAGAUGUGAGGCACAGUUUUCUCAAUUCUCUUCAGGACCCUACAGAAUAGUGUAAGUCUUGGGAGAGAAGUGAGUUUAUCGUGUACAACAGAUGCCUUAAAGCAUUAGGUCUUAAUGUACUCAUGGAACCCUGGUUGAGAAUAGCCUAACUGGGGCUACGGUUUUUUCCACCUUACAAUUUUUGCUGCUUUUUUUUUUGUUAAUAAUUGAGAAAAAAUUUUGUCUUUACAAACCAGAGAUGAGUAUAGUCAACUAGCAAUUUAAUACUUUGAGUUCCCAGAUUACUGCUCAACACAAAGAGAUUUCUUUGAAGCUAAAAUUAAUUUCUCAAAUCUGUACCUUUUAAUUACUGUAUAAUUUUACAACAAUAAUGACUAGAGAGAACAGAAGUAUGUUUUUAGAUGUAUUGUUCAAAUCUAUAUUUGUGAAAUUGAGUUUAUGGGCACAUUACGUUGCUUUUGGGAAGAAACAUUUCUUAGAGUUCUGUAAUGUUUGCUGACAAGGUUCAUAACAGUAGAUAAUAAUUAUCGUGCAUGACUAUACAUUUUUGCGAUAAAUUGUAUCGUCACUCAAAAAUGACCUUGUUAGGUGAGGGAGAAGGCAAGAGAGACAUACUGUGCCUCUGGAGAGCAGGUGGAGUGAUGCGUAGCAGGAGAAGACACUAAAGAUUUAUUGUCUGUGGCAAAGGAAACACAGAUCUCUGCUUGUGCAGUAAGUGUUUUUGACAUCACCCACAGUAAAGGGUGAUUGGAAGCUGUAGGUUAGAAAAUGUUCCGCUGAAGGAUAAUAAUGAGCAUUUUUAUGUUGUUCGUAUUAUGGGCUUGUCUUGCUGCUUAGUCUUUGUGGCACUUAAGACUUGAAGGGUAGUCAUGCCAAACCAAUCCUUGUUGUAAAUAGGACCUUGCUACCCAAAUAAUCAGAUUUACCUACUUUAAUUACUAUGCACGACCAGAUUCUGUUGUGAGAGGAGGUAGCUCUAUGAACCAGCGUAGCUUUUCUUUUUUCCUUUCAAUUUCAUAUUUUGCUUACUGAGAACUUUCUUUUUUGUUUACAUGAGCUGGUUUAAAAUAGAACAAAUGUGAGUGAUACGUUUGGCCAGAAGAUUGAAAGAACAAGGACAAUCCUAAUGGAAAGAACUGCAGACCUUGCAGUAUCUGUUCUCGAUGGUCUUACAACAGCCCCAUCUGUCUGAGAAGUGAGGGUUAUGCUUGAGUUAUUGUAGUUGGGUUCCUGUUUGCUUCUGGCCAGAAAACCAGAUAAGGUACACACAGAAAAGAUUCGUAACAAUUUAGAAUGUUGUGUAUAUGGAUAUAGACACCUUUGCUUUUCAAGAAGAGAGAUAAGGGACAUUGUGCCCAUUUUAUUUUGCAUAGUAUUUAGAUCCUAGGGUUUUAGGAUUAGGACCCUUAGUUUAUAGGAUCUAAACUCUCUGGUUUAUUUCCUUCUCUAUAUUCAUGCUGCAGUAACCAUUCUAAACAGAUAAAUGCCUCAAAUAAAAAACAAAAACAAGGAGCAUUCUGUGAUUCACCGUCUGUUCACAUUCUUUCUUUUUUUUUUUUCUGACUUGAAUUCAGUCCCUGUGAAAUUACUCUUUUAAAUCGUUGUUGGGCAGUUCUGAGAAAUAUAGAAAAGCUGCAUUUCCUCUGAUAGUUCAACAGGAGCUGAGUAGGUUGAUUUAUCUGUAAUGCUUUUCCAUAAUGCUUUGAUAUUCUACUGAAAUAUAAACGAUCCAAGUUUUAAUUUUGCCAAGUUGAGACAACUGUAGUAGAUACUGUGGUGUACAUUCCAGCACCCCCUUCAGAAUGGAGACACUCAGUUCUUCAGCUGCCGGGAGUGUUGGCCGUUGACAGCUUACAACUGAGUCUCUCUGUAGGAGUUCCCCUUAGCCAAAGGCAGCCUCCUUGCCCCUCUCCUGGGGCAGCCCGCAUUCAAUAUCUGAUUGAUGUGGCAGUGCAAAGGCUUGGCUCCCUACCACAAUUCAGAGCAAACUGAAGGGCUAUCCUAGCUUCAGAGCUCUCUGUAGGAAUGGCAGAGGCCUCUGUUGCAAUUGUAUCACAGUACAAAUUAGUAGAUAGUAGGUUUAGUAAGGCAGAAAACAGAAAAUUUCUUGUUGUUGUUAGGUGCCAUUGAAUUGGUUUCUUCUCAUAGUGAUCCUAUGCCCAAAAGAACAAAACACUGCCUGGUCCGGUGCCAUCCACACAACGGAUACUGUGUUUGAGCUCGUUGUUGCAGCUACUGUGUUAGUCUAUCUCGUUGAAGGUCUUCCUCUUUUUCAGUGACCCUCUGCUUUACCAAGUAUGAUGCCAUUCUCCAGGAACUUGUGCCUCCUGAUAACAUGUCCAAAGUACGUGAGAUGAAAUCUCACCAUCCUCACCUCUAAAGAGAAUUCUGGCUGUACUUCUUCCAAGACAGAUUUAUUUCUUCUUCUGGCAGUCCAUGAUAUAUUCAACAUUCUUUGCCAGUACCGUAAUCCAAAGGCAUAAAUUCUUCUUUGGUCUUCUUUAUUCAUUGUCCAGCUUUCGCAUGCGUAUGAGGCAAUUGAAAAUACCAUGACUUGGGUCAGGCACACCUUAGUCCUCAAAGUGAUAUCUUUGCAUUUUAACACUUUAAAGAGGUCUUUUGCAGCAGGUUUGCCAAAUACAAUAUGUCAUUUGAUUUUUUCACUGCUGCUUCUAUGGGUGUUGAUUGUGGAUCCAAGUAAAAUGAAGUCCUUGAUAAAUUCAACAUUUCUUCAUUAUCAUGAUGUUGCUUAUUGGUCCAGUUUUGAGGAUUUUUCUUUUCUUUGUGUUGAGUUGUAAUCCAUAUUGAAGACUAGAGUCUUUUAUCUUCAUCAGUAAGUGCUUCAAAUCCUCUUCACUUCCAGCAAGCAAGGUUGUAUAAUCUGCAUAUCACAGGUUGUUAAUGAGUCUUUCUCUAAUCCUGAUGCCAUGUUCUUCUUCAUAUAUAGUCCAACUUCUCAGAUGAUUUGCUCAGCAUACAGGUUGAAUAAAUUUGAUGAAAGGCUACAACCAUGACCAAUCCCUUGUUCUAUUAAAAAAACUGCCUCUUGGUCUAUGUACAUGUCCCUCAUGAGCACUAUUGUUUUGGAAAUCCCAUUGUUUGCAAUGUUAUCCAUAAUUUGUUAUGAUCCACGCAGUUGAAUACCUUUGCAUAGUAAAUGUCUUUUUGGUAUUCUCUGCUUUCAUCCAAGAUCAGUCUGACAUCAUCAAUGAUAUCCCUCCUUCCAUAUUCUCUUCCAAAUCCAGUUUGAAUUUCUGGCAGUUUUUAAAUUUUCUUCAGCAAAAUUUUAUUUGCAUGUGAUGUAAAUGAUAUUGUUCAACAAUUCCUACAUUCUGUUGGAUCACCUUUCUUUGGAAUGGGCACAGACGUGGAUCUCUUACAGUUGGUUGGCCAGGUAGCUGUCUUCCAAAUUUCUUGGCAUAGAUGAGAGAGUGCUUCCAUAGUUGAAUCUGUUUGUUGAAACAUCUCAAUUUGUAUUCCGUCGGUUCCUGGAGGCUUGUUUUUGCCAAUGCCUUCAGUAGAGCUUGGACUUCUUCCUUCAAUACCAUUGGUUCUUGUUCUUAUGCUGCCUCCUGAACUGGUUGAACUUUGACCAGUUCUUUUCAGUACAGUGACUCUGGUUAUUCCUUCCAUCUUCUUUUGUUGUUUUCUGCAUUGUCAAUAUUUUGCCAUAGAAUCCUUUGAUAUUGCAACUUGAGGCUUGAAUUUUUUCAUUUUGAGAAAUGCUGAGUGUGUUCUUCCCUUUUGAUUUUCUAACUCCAAGUCUUUGCACAUUGCACUGUAAUACUUUACUUUGUCUUCUUGAGCUGGUUCUUAGUCUUUGUUUUAUGUCAUAUAAAGGAUCUGCUUCAUUAUUGUGAGGACUUAACCAUGACCGAAUUAUUUUUCUCUUUUACUUUUUUUGCUGAUACAAUAUUUUUUCGUUAAUGGAAUGUGUACUGAAUCAAUGAGUGUGUCUGAAUUUUUGGUAGGUGACAUGGACUUUGAUACAUGUUAUGUGGGACACAUUUGUCCCUCUGACUAUGGGGGUGGGAUUAUGUGGGACAUAUACGUCCCUUGGGACUCUGAACAGCUUUCUAGAUCCCUUGAUAGGUGCUUACAAUGUAUGGCACCUGAAGAUGAGGUAUUCAUGCAAAUGUGGAAUCAUAGUGAGAAAUGCAACCUACAAGUAACACACGGGAACCUGGAAAUAUACUUACAAGGCUUAUCUCCUUGUACAAAAGCCACACACAGACAAAAGUUUUGCAGAGUUAUACCUCUAGGAUGCACCACCUCAUGCAAUACACUGUAAAAACAAUAAUUUGCUUCACACACCCAUUUUUUUCCAUUUCAAACAGCUAUACAGGUCCCUGCCUGAUGUCAGUAUGUACUGUCAGUGGGAAAGCAGCUUCCCAAUAAACCUGAAAGGCAGAAAAUGUAGGUGGAUGCUGUAUGUCCCACAGGUCAUGAAACGGUUUGAGUUAAUACAUGUAGGACACUUAGAAUGUUCCCUGGCAUAGAUUAAAUCCUCAGUAAGUGUGAACUAAUACCUUAGCCAUAUGUUGGUUAUCAGUGCAUUUCUUACAGGAAAUUUUGUAAAUUUAUGAUGGCUGGCAUGAAAAUGUAGAAGCUAAAUCAUAAUGGGAAUUUGGGGAAAUAAGAUUAUUCUAAGGUUAGAUUAACUAGUAUUAUUUAAUUGUGGAAGCUAAAUCGUAAUGGGAAUUUGGGGGAAUAAGAUUAUUCUAAGGUUAGAUUAACUAGUAUUAUAUAAAUAAACUGUGGAAUAUAUUCCUAAAAGAGAGACUUGCAUAUCGGACACAUUGCUUAACCUACUAAGUGGACUUCUAAUUGGGCAAAACCUCUGUGUAUUUGCUUUCUCAUCUUCACUGUCAGUGUGCAAUUCUGUGUAGAAAAAAAUGUGGCAGAAGGUUCAGGAAGCUUCACACUCAUCAAUUAGUGUGGAAGAAAGGAGCCCCAGUGGUGCAGUGGUUAAGUGCUUGGCUGGUAACCAAAAGGUCAAUGGUUUGAACCCACCAGGUGCUCCGCGGGAGAAAGACAUGGCAGUCUGCUUCUAUAAAGAUUACAGCCUUGGAAACCCUAGCACAGCCUACUCCGUCCUUUAGGGUUGCUGCGUCAGAAUCUACGGCAGUAGGUUUUAGUGUGGAAGAGACCAUCUACUCCGUCCUUUAGGGUUGCUGAGUCAGAAUCUACGGCAGUAGGUUUUAGUGUGGAAGAGACCAUCUCCAAAACAACUGCUUGAAAUUAAGACUAGGUUCCUGAGUUAAAUCCUUCAAGUAAUGUAUUCAAAAUUGAGAAUUAUCUAUUUUAAAAGCAUUUAUACUUGAUUUUAGAAAGCUUAGAAAUAGAAAAUUGUGUUUUUGUUAGGCAAUUACAGAUUAACAACUCUGUAAUUUUAAUUGAAUUUCUUUAUCUUCCUGUUGGCAGGAGUCAUCUCUGUAUGUUGAAUCCUCAAACUCUAGGGAGAAAACAUUGGGUUAGAGAGAAGGAGAAUCAAAGGGCAGGAGAGUCUGCCAGCAGGGGUGGACAUGCUUAAUGUAUUUAAAAGAUUAAUGGGCUAUUGAAAUUAAAAUCACCAACACAAAGCAGGUUGUACCAAACUCACGAAUAUGUGUACAACAACCAUAUGGGCUAGAGCUUAGGCCGGUGGCUUGCCUUUAUAUUAUGACAGGCACAGAAUAGGCCUUUUUAUUGUGAAGCCUGAAUAAAAUAUCUUUUAUUUGUCACACAGAUUAGAAAUAUACUUAACCACAAGAACUCAUGUUCACAUUUUUUCCCCAAGCAGUGUAGUGCAUCAUUUUUUUGGUGUGGUGCCAGAAUAGAAUACUGUAAAAAUAUGAACAUUUUUCUCUUACUGCAGCAGUUUAAAAUGGUCUUGUGAUUUAAUGACUUUUAAUGAGUAUAACAGUAGUAAUUAUUUCUAUAUGUAAUACGAUAUAUUAGCCACCAUGGAUAACAAAGAAGCAAUACUUACACUAAUGUAUUACUUUUGCAGCAUGAUUUUAAUUUUUCUGUAGGGACUGAAUUGGUCACAGAGAGCUUGACAUGAAAAAUGCAGAAGCAUUUUAGAUACAUUUAAUGGACUUGAAUUCUAGAACCCUCUCAUUUUUCCUGCUUUUCUGUCACUGUUCUCUGGUUCACAAAGAUAUUCUCUAGAGUAAAAUAUUUUGUAAUUUGUAUGAGGGGCACUACCAGUUACGUUAGGCUUUGCAAGACCUCUGGCAGGUUUUAAUUAGCUUGAUUCAAACUCAGACAUGAAUGACCCUUUGCCUUCAGUCUUAGACAGAGAACUUCCUUUUCUUCGGUGUUCCCCUUUCCUAUGGACCAUCUCUGUCUAAAUGAGCAAUAAUAAUAUUUAUAAUCAACAUUGUGAUACCUUUUGCAUGGAGAUGAAACAACAAAUUGCUAGGAAUGUGUAAGGCAGUGAUUUAUGGUUAAAAACUAGAGUAAAAUAGUGGCCAGAGUUCAAAAUAUCUUUUUGUUUUACUUAAAAAUGAUUAAUUAUUCAGUAUUAUUAGUGAUUUUAAAAAUACCAGCAGGGUGAUAGGCACGUAAUUGAGGAUCAGUGUAUAUUUGGCUGAAUAUAUAGUUGAUUGCUCAAGUUGUUACUUUGUUAAUCACACACAGCAUUUUAUGAUUUUUUUAUUCUGGUCUUGUUUAGGAGGCAGUAGUGGUUCAGUGGUAGAAUUCUCACCUUCCAUUGGGGAGACCUGGGUUUGAUUCCUAGCAAUGCAUCUCAAGCACAGCUACCACCUAUCUGUUAGUAGAGGCUUAUGUGUUGCUAGGAUGCCGAACAGGUUUCACUGGACCUUCCAGACUAAGAUGGACUAGGGGGAAAGGCCUGACAAUGUACUUUAGAAAAAUCAACAGUGAAAACCCUAUGGAUAACAGUGGUCCAAUCCUGUUGUGCAUGGGGUCACCAUGAACCUAUGACAGCUAAUAACAAAGCAACAUCUCUACCAGGGUAGACAGAAGUUGAAAAUUAGAGUUAUGAAAAAAUGGCCCAGAAUUAUGAGUGUCAGGAAAAGUCACUAGCAGAGACAAUUUUCCAUGGAUGAUCUAUAUUGAGGAGAGCUAUCCACGACAAUAAGUUCAAAUGCAGACAUCAGAAAAAAGCCACACUAGCCUAAAAUUUUAUAGAUAUUGCAAGCUAUCACCCAGAGACUUUCUUCUGCUGUUUUUUUGUGCUGCUUUAGAUGGUUAUAUGAGAUCUGGCUUUCAAGGACGUUGAGGCAAAUCUCUGAAUUUUUUAAAAGUUUUCUAUCACUAGGAAUUGCCCGUUUAAGGAACUGAAAUGGGUACCUUGUUUUCUUAAUGCUCUGACUGAGACUAUAGUGAUUGGUUCCUAUUUUUUAUAACAGAAUUAAAAGCUUAAUUAAGCAUAUGAGUGUUUUUUAACUUUAUAAAAUUUGAACUAAUUUCUUUUUGUAAGUGUAAAGCAAGAAAAUUAUUGUUGCAUUUUUCUUUGUAACAAAUAUUAAAAUGAGGUAUGCCUUCAUAUGAUUGAACGGAUGCAUAAUCAAAUAUUCUUUGCAUGCAGGCUGUGCUAGGUGUAGAAAAAAUAGUAAAUUUGACCACAGUUCUUACCCUUGUAUAGAACUGGGUAGGAAUGAUUAUAAAUGUGUAGGUAAUUAUAAUCUAUACUGCAAUAAAUAACCUGAGUUUAAAGUGAAUUAUUCUUGAUACUUUGCAAUAAUUUUAAAAUUAUUAUCUAAUUAUUUCAGGUGUUGGUUUUUUCUCCUUCCCUAGCUUUUGGGUUUAAUAAAGAAUUUUUGUUUCUUUUGCAUCAUCCUCCAGUACCUGAAACCAAGCUGGAUCUUACUAAAAUAUUUCGCUUUUUCUUUCCAUCAGCUACUACAUCUGGACUUUUAUUGAGGGAAGAAAUUAUCCUAAAAAGAAAAAAGAAAGCUUUUAUAGAAUUGGAAAAAUGUAAGAACAUUUUGGUUGUUCAUUUAGUUUUGGAUGUGAGAUUAAGGGGAAGAAUUUGAAUAUAGGAGGCAUCUAGGCAGGGUUCAAAAGUAGUGCUACCAGUUGUAGUGCUGAUUUAGUAAAGAGAAUGCCAAUAGCUUUGAAAGAGUUCUGAUCACAGAAAUUCUGAAAAGAACACAGUUUAAUAGCCUGUGUCAUUUAAAAAUUUAUCUGGAUAAAAAAAAAUUUUUUUUUUUUUUAAUCUGGAUAGAGAUUAAAAAUUCAGCAAAAAAGAAUGUCCCUGUAACUAAAUAAUUAUAUCAUUUAUAAAACAAAACAAAAACAACCCGUUGCUGGCCAGUCUGUUCCAACUCAUGGUGACCCCAUGUGUUGCAGGGUAGAACUGCUGCAUGGGGUUUCCUGGGCUACACUUUUUAUGGAAGCAGAUCACCAGGCUUUUCUUUCAUGGCACUAUUAGGUGGGUUCAAACAGCCAAGCUUCAGGUUAGUAGUCUAGUACAUAAUGUUUGCACCACUCAGGGACCUUUUAUAUCUUUUAUCGUACAGUAGCGCCCCCUCCAUCUGCAAUUUCACUUCUGAGGUUUCAGUUACCCAAGGUCAACUUUGGUCCUAAAAUGUUAAAUGAGUAGCUUGAUCAAAUCUCUCACCUUCCAACUCCAACCUACCACAUUCACAUAAUUUUUAUUACCAGUAUAUUGUUAUAAUUGUUCUAUUUUAUUGUUAGUUAUUGUUGUUUAUCUCUUACUGUGCCUAAUUUAUACAUUAAACUUUACCAUAGGUAUGUAUGUAUAGGUCAAAACAUAGCAUCUAUAGGGUUCGGUACUAUCCACAGUUUCAGGCAUCCAUGGAGGGGUCUUGGAACAUAUUCCUGUGGAUAAGGGGGGACUACUGUACUUACUGUCCUUGUUUCAUAGUAAUAGUAAUGACUGAUACAUUUGAACCUUUUUAAAAAGUAACAUCAUAAUGAUACUGGGAAUGAGAUGUUAUUUCCUGCAUUUAGAACCAUGAACAAUAUCUCAGAAUUAAAAUAUGUGAUCACUUAUCAGAUUAUGCACAUAGCGAAUCCUAAUUAAUUCCAUUUUCUUACAAUUUAUAAUCGGACUGUAGUUCCUGGUACUUUUUUUUUUUUGGUGUGGGCAUUUAUAGUUUAAGAAUAUAGAUUCUACAGGAGCUAAAUCACCCCCUUAAAGUACAUUAACUCAGGUGCCCCUCUUUAAUAUAACUACACAAUAGCUGGACCACAGUAGAAAUGCAUCACAUAUCAUUGCAGUGAAUGUGAAAUACCAAAUGUUCCUUCCAAAAGCUUAUUUACACACAAAUGGGCACAGCAUAUCCAUUGCUAAUUCAUCCUAGAUUUCCUAGUCCUUUGACUGAAUUAUAAAAAUGUCUUAACAUUUUUGCACAUUAUAGUAACUAGCCAAAAUCAAUAAUUUAAUACUUUCCUUUCAAUUUAUCCCACAUACCUUAAAACCCAGUGCCCCUUAGCCAUGGAAUUAUAAAUAUAAAUGUACUUUUUUGCACUUCAGUUUCUACUUCACUUCCUCAUACUUGUGCUUUGAUCCAACUUUCACCCUAGUUACUACAUCUUCUGGCAUCUUCCCGGUUUUAGAUCCUCUUUUCUCAGUCCAGCUGACCUCUGAACUUCUCAUUUUUUAUGCUCGAUGUUUCUACCUAGACAGUCUGUGCCCAACUGUUACUUGCUUUGUCACUACUUCAUUUUCCCUUUAGUGCCUCACGAUGAACCACCACAGGCGACAUAUAAUUUCAGGAAUGCUGUUUAUAGUUAAGCAAACUGUGCCCCCUAGAAAGGUGAAAACAGAGUGGAUAAUAGGGAGGGGAUACAGAAAUACCGUGUUUUUUUUUUUGUGUGUGUGUGUGUGUGUGCUGGCCAAACAGAGUUGGCCUGGAGGGCAACGGCACUUUUUUUUCUAAGACCACGGGUGGUAACUUUUUAAAAAAUGAGAACAUGUAACUUUUAAACUAGUAUCUUCACUUAGGUAGUGAAUAUGGGCUUUAAUUUUAGAGAAAUGUUAGAAAUCUCUCUAAAAUUUCUUAGGAAUGACCAGCACUAUUCAGUUGCUGUUUUUGUAUUGUUUUUAAAUAGAAUUUCCAAAAUCAUUUCUCUGAAAGCACACAAGCUGUCUUUCCAACGCCUAGUGUGCAUCCUUCACAAAAGAAUUGUCAAAUAGGUAGAUGCUUUUUUGGUUUAGAACUUGACUGCUGAAGAUAUUUCUGCUCUAAUAGCUGCUUUCAAGUUUUAUUUUAAAAAAUUCCAUAGAUCAACUAUUUGCCAGUGCAGAUUUGUUAUACAGAGGAAGUAGUAUUAGUUCAUAGCAUUUGUUUAAUUUUGUCACGUAGGACGCACUGUGCUUUAGAUGUAUUUUCACAGUUCUCUCAGUAACCCUAUGAGACAUGUGCUAUUGUUUUCUGCAUUUUGUAACUGACACAUUGUUAUAAAUGAUACAUUUGUAAAAGACACAUUGGUCAAACUCAAAUAGCUUGUAAAUGGCAGAUUUAGUUUUCAAAGCCAGAAGAUCCUACAUUAUUGACCACUGAGCUUUAUCCCUCCAGUUAUCUUAUUCAAAAGCCUUGACAGAAUCAUUUACUGAUACUCUUGUCAGAGAAAUUCAAUUCUGUUGCUUGUUCCAUUCACAUUUGUAUGUGCCCUGCUUAUAUCUGAGCAAAAACUCGAAUUUUUAGUGACUGUUAGUUUCUUCCAAUAAUUUGGCUCAAUGGUAAGAUUACAAUGAAGAAAAAAUAACUUCAAAAUUUUUUAUGGAAUGAAGUGGGAGAAAGUACAUAAAGAAAUAAAGUGGAAAUAAAUUUUUUCUGAAUCUUUUUGGAUUUAAAAGAAACACAUGCUUAUUAAAGAAAAAUUGCUUUCUAAUUAUAUCAUUCUUGUUUUUAUAUUAUUACAUGAUUUUUAUUGUAAAAGUCACAUAGAAUUUUACCAGAUAGAUUUACUAUAGGUUAAUUUAACAAUCCUCCAUGUUGGGAUAUUUAAUAGUUUUUCAUGGGGUUAGGGGAAGGGCUGAGGGCACCAUUAUAACUAGUGCAGAAAUAAUUACUUUUAUUCCAAAUUGGGUAUUUUUGAGGAGAAAAUAAAUAGGUUUGUAAUGAAGAAUUUGGGAGAAAUAUUUUUUUAAGAAAAAAAAAAAUCACUGCUUUAUGCCCAAAAGAAUUGUUGUGAGCCAUUUAUAUAAUUAUACAAGGGAAUCCUUCCUUCAUUGCUGCCCUCCUGGAAUUCCUCCUUCACUAAUCUUUAGACUGGUAAAAAAAAAUUAAAAAAAAAAAAAAAACCCAUUGCCGUUGAGUCGAUUGCCGACUCAUAGUAACCCUAUAGGACAGAGUAGAACUGCUCUAUGGGGUUUCCAAGGCAGCACAUAAAAUUUAAACUUUUUUUCUCUUCUUGACAGUCCUCUUCAGGAAACAAA